CCCUUAGAUGUCCUGGGCCGCACGCGCGCUACACUGAUGCAUUCAACGAGUUUUACCUUGGCCGAGAGGCCUGGGCAAUCUUUUAAACCUGCAUCGUGAUAGGGAUAGAUUAUUGCAAUUAUUAAUCUUGAACGAGGAAUUCCUAGUAAACGCAGAUCAUCAAUCUGCAUUGAUUACGUCCCUGCCCUUUGUACACACCGCCCGUCGCACCUACCGAUUGAAUGGUCCGGUGAAGCCUCGGGAUUGUGGCCAGUUCACUUUAUUGGGAGUUGGCUGCGAGAACUUGUCUAAACCUUAUCAUUUAGAGGAAGGUGAAGUCGCAACA
rnacentral:rRNA from 1 species